rnacentral:rRNA from 1 species
UGGGGAAUAUUGCGCAAUGGGCGAAAGCCUGACGCAGCGACGCCGCGUGAGGGAUGAAGGUUUUCGGAUCGUAAACCUCUGUCAGAAGGGAAGAAACCGCACUGUGCUAAUCAGCAGUGCCUUGACGGUACCUUCAAAGGAAGCACCGGCUAACUCCGUGCCAGCAGCCGCGGUAAUACGGAGGGUGCAAGCGUUAAUCGGAAUUACUGGGCGUAAAGCGCACGUAGGCUGCUUUGUAAGUCAGGGGUGAAAUCCCACGGCUCAACCGUGGAACUGCCUUUGAUACUGCUUAGCUUGAAGCCGGGAGAGGGUGGCGGAAUUCCAGGUGUAGAAGUGAAAUCCGUAGAUAUCUGGAGGAACAUCAGUGGCGAAGGCGGCCACCUGGACCGGUAUUGACGCUGAGGUGCGAAAGCGUGGGGAGCAAACAGG